AAUCUUAUAUUUGGCGCCCAAACGUGACCCAAACGGUUUUCCAUUUGAAACAGAAUCACGAUGUGUGAUUUGGGCUGUGUGAUCGGUGUGUGAUCGGUGUGUGAUCUCUUAAACUGUCUAUUUGACUCAUGCAUCACAUUGGAAAUUGUGUAUGAAUUUAAUUAAAAAUAAAUACAAAUAUGACUAUAUCAUCGGUUUGACAGUCAAUGGUAUUCAAUUUGCUCAAUUAAUUUGAUUGAUGGUUUAUUUAAAUCUAUUUUCUAACCUUAGGUCAACUCCCUUAGUCUAUUUAUUCUUUCCAGAGCAAACCGGUUUCAUUUAGUUUAAGGAAAAUACAUUUUGUUUUGUCGUUUUCAUUCACUGAACCGUCUCACAAAAGGGAAGGAGGGACAGAGAGAGGGAGGGAGGGAGGGAGAGAGGGAGGGAGGGAGGGAGAGAGAGACAGAGAAAGGGAGGCAGAAAUAGAGAGAGACAGGGACAGAGAGACAGAGAGACCGGAAGACACAGACAGACAGACAAGUAGAGUGGGUGAGACACAGCUUUAUGCACAAUAUUUCACCUAUAAAACUCCCUUAACUAAUACUACGGAUCCCACUACCGAUUUCUGAAUGGGCUACGAUAAAACUAUCUGCCGGAGGUCUGCUGGGUUGCUUCUAAUCCGGGGGGCGUACAUCACCAUGGUUACCACAAGGUAUAUGGAUCACUCACACCAAGCCUGCUCCAGAGGACAGGAUCUCGGUUAAUAGGCCAGAACAGAACAAAGUCCCGCCCACUUUGCCAAAAGGACCACCGGACCAAUCAGGGUCUCUCGCUUCAUACACCACACACACACACACGCCAAUCAAUUGGAUGAAAGGUAGAACUCGGUCGCUCAAUGCAACGCAAAAACCCACCAGGAUACCAGAGGGCGACAGUUAAAGACAACCACCAAACCUGCCCUCAGCUCCACCAACAAGGACCUGCCAGGACAGCAGGCAAGGACUUCUCGAGUCGCGCGCGGCAAGUGAGGUGAGGUGGGAGGUCACUCGAGUCAUGACUCAUCACAACGUCACACACUACAGCCAAUGAACGGUGAAACAUGAAAUUACACUGAUCUGGAACGAACCAUAUGUCCAUGGCGGUCCCGGUGCGGCCUAUUUUGGUGUGUAAUAACCUGCGUCGAUUUCAACAGAGGAACACUCUGAGCAUGCGCAUUUCAAUUUUUCAAGUCCAAUACACAUUACAUUGGGCUGAUGGGGCUCGCUCGAGCCACUCUUGCCCCUCCAGACGAAAUCCGUCUGAAGAAGCAAGCUAGGGUCGACUAAAAAUGAACUAAAAGCGCCGAAUUUAUUAUUUGACAGUACUUUCUGGGGAGAUUUUUUAUAUAUACAUAUAUAUAAUUCAUUUUAUAUAUUUUUUUUCUUUUUUCAUUUUCUUCUUUUUCUUGUGAGAGUAGGUGGGGGCGUGGGGCCGAGCCCCACUUGCCCCUACUGACCAGUUGCCACUAUUAGUAUGUAAUUAUUUUUUUAUUUAAAUCUGUUUUUUCUGGCUGUCAGUGACAUGGGGGGUAUUUAACCACCUCGACCUGCAGACAUCGUCUUACAGUAGUAGAGCCUCCUCGACCUACAGUACUAAAGCCUCGGGAAGCAAAGGUGAACAACAUGAAGACAUUUGCGCUGGUUUUCGUUUUCCUGAUCUUGGCUGCAGUUUGCACAGAUAGGUUCACAGAACAAACACAGCAAUAUACUGUACGUCUAUCAUUUUGGGCCUCAUGAAGAAUGCAAAUUCAGUUGAGAUGUAUAUAAUAACAUAGAUAUAACAUACAACAUGUCAUGUAUUCAGACCCGGUUCUACGAGGGUGCAUAAGCAUGCAUUGCACCCCC
ensembl:lncRNA